GAGUGUUCACCCGGCGUCCCGCUGUCGUCUGCGCGCCGAUGGCUCCGGGUGGCGCGGCCGGGCAUCUAACCCGGCCCGGGUAGGGAGACUGGGAGGCAGACAGCGUGGGAAAGACUUUUAGUGUUAAGAAGGAAGAUUCCAAGUGAGCCCUGAUGGAGACUGUUGGCUUUGGGAAGCGGAGGCAGCUCGUUGGAAGUGGGGCAUCCACCAGGACAAGGACUUCAUGAAGCACAGAACAGGAACAGCGUCCGGACUUGCAUUUAUCACUAAGGAGUCUGGUAUUGAAGGCCAGGGCCGACUUUCAACCCCAGAACACGGCUGUCCUCGAAUACCGUCCGCCUUUGGGUAGCCCUCCAAGGGUCUGUCACCCAUCAACCUCUAGACACCCUAAAAUUUAAAAGAUAUGUUGCAGUGUUACAGGUUUUAGAAUUUGUCUAGCAGGUUUUCUGGUCCUCACCGGAAG